rnacentral:rRNA from 1 species
UGAUAACAUAAGGGAAAAUAAUGAUAUUACCUUAUUAUUAGUGUCGUCCAAAUCUGGUGCCAGAAGACUCGGUAAGGCCAGAGACACAAACGUUAAUCGUCUUAAUCAGGCGUAAAGGGUUUGUAGGCGGCUUUAAAAUUUAGUUAUAAAAAAAUAAAUAAUAAGUAAAGAAUAAAAGCUAGAAUCAAAUAGAGGAUAUAUUAAAGAAUGCUUAGAGUAGGUCUGAUAUCUGUAGAUACUAAGUAGAAUAUUAAAGGCGAAAGCUUUUUUCCAUUAAUGAUUGACGCUCAGAAACGAAGGUGAGGAUAGGAAAUAGGAUUAGAUACCCAAAUACCCCUCUCUGUCAACGAUGAAUGGUAGUUUAUUAAUAAAUUAUUAAUGACAAUGUUAACACGAUAACCAUUCCGCCUUGUGAGUACAACUGCAAAGUUGAAAACAAAAAAAUUAGUCGGUUUCGGAGCAAACGAAGUGAAGCAUGUUAUUUAA